GUUUUGAAGGGGGUUGUAGCUGAUCUUUUCAAGAUAUGUGCACACCUCUAUCUAUACACCCAUGUGCACCUUUUGUAGGCUUUUUUUUGCCUAUGUUUAUACACCACACACCAUUUUGUACAAGAAUGUUAUUAAUGAAAAUUUAAUACAACUUUCAACAACGGAUCUCUUGGCUCUCGCAUCGAUGAAGAACGCAGCGAAAUGCGAUAAGUAAUGUGAAUUGCAGAAUUCAGUGAAUCAUCGAAUCUUUGAACGCACCUUGCGCUCCUUGGUAUUCCGAGGAGCAUGCCUGUUUGAGUGUCAUUAAAUUAUCAACCUCUUCAAGAGGCUUGGAUUUGGAGUGUUGCUGGCUUGUUGUUGGCUCCUCUUAAAUGAAUUAAGCUUGUGUGUAGGCUUUGGUUUGAUAAUAUCUAUGCCAUCGCUGCAAUGCAAAACAACCUUGAAAUUUGACCUCAAAUCAGGUAGGACUACCCGCUGAACUUAAGCAUAUCAAUAAGCGGAGGAAAAGAAACUAACAAGGAUU
rnacentral:rRNA from 1 species